UACGAAGGGGGCUAGCGUUGUUCGGAAUUACUGGGCGUAAAGCGCACGUAGGCGGGUUUGUAAGUAGAGGGGGAAAUCCCAGGGCUCAACCCUGGAACUGCCUUCUAGACUGCAAGCCUGGAGGUCAGGAGAGGCGAGUGGAAUACCGAGUGUAGAGGUGAAAUUCGUAGAUAUUCGGUGGAACACCAGUGGCGAAGGCGACUCGCUGGACUGAUACUGACGCUGAGGUGCGAAAGCGUGGGGAGUAAACAGG
rnacentral:rRNA from 1 species